UGUAUCAGGAUAGAUUUGAUGGCACAAUGGAGGAAGACAAGGAAAAUAGCGAGGAAAGUCAGAGAAAAAGAUGAAAAAUGUCUAAAGUUUGGGACCAUUUCAAAAAGAAGAAAAGCAAAAAUACUGUACAGUGCGUCCAUUGUAAAACCGAAUUAGCUUAAUUACCACAAUAGCACAACGUCAAUGAUUCAACAUCUCAACGGAAAGCACCCAGUCCACAGACCGGAACCAAUACAAGGUUAUUCCACCCAGGGAAGAUUUAAAUGAUACUUUAUAACAUCUGGAAAAGGUUUACAGAAGACCGUGGUGGGCCUGCUCCAUCUUCUCUUGAUCAUCAAGAUGAGACCUUGCCUAGCAUAACAAAGAAUAUGGACGCUACUUGUGAGAGGAUCUAAGUUCAAGGACUUCUGCUUUGAAUAUUAUAGCCAUCCCCACCGGCAGUUUCACUGUUCAGUAGUUUGUGUCGGGCUGCAGUUAUAUUGUUUAAAAGCAUCAGCAACCAUAUCUGGCCUGAAUCCCAACCCUUGACAAAUAACGUAAACCUCAACUACCCACGUAUGCUGUGGAUGUACUAGGGGUGUAAUGGUAGACAAAAGUCACAGUUUGGUACAAACUUCAGUUUCAGUUCCUUUUCAGUACAGCAGGGGAAUUCUGAAUUCAUUUUGAAAGUAUUUAUUACUAAAACUGCAGACACAACCAAAAUCAAGAACAGUUAUAAACCAAAGGCAAUAUGUCUGAUGUUGAUGCGUUUAAAUAAGGAAACCUAGGGAUAAUUACCUGUACAUUGUAAAAAUAUGUAAACAAGAAUUAAAAAAUAAAACUGCAUAGUAACGUUCAUAAUGACCUAAAUCUUGUUUUACUACCAUGUAUGAUUGCAUAUUUAUAGAGGUAAACACCCAUAUAGCCUUAGUUACUUUUUAUCCCGGUCAGAAUUUCCUGGUGAAAGGACAUUAAAUACCACAGGCAGACUAACUUGCAGAGGCUGUUUCUGCCCUUUGGUCAUACACACAUUUAGAUGAUGUCACCUCAAAUGAGUUAGAGGGCUAGAUGUGUUUGCAACAACAUAACUCAGUUCAGUAUAACAGAGGCAGAAUUAUCUACUUGUUCUGUCUGCUGUUGGUGAUAUUUAUUGGGAAACCAAAAUGUUCCCAAACUGUUGGUUGACUGACUGUAAACAGCUUUAGGCAUAACCAAUUCAUAGCUUUAAUUAGCAUUAAUGUUUUCCAUGAUGAACAUCUACUUAUGGAUUUAGGCUCUGCCUGUGUCAAGAAAUUCAUUCAUUUUAUUGUGCUUACCAAAGCGAAAAUGAUAUAAUCGAAUGAUACACGACAAAUGUGUGGACCUUUACAGCCCUAGUAUGUAGCUAUUUAAACAUAUGCUUGACAAUAUAGUUUCACUGUACAUGUACAAUGACAAAAUUAUUCUAUUUUAAUCUAUUAUAUUGUAUGGUAAACCUACUGGCACAUAUGCGUUAAAUACUCAUUGGUUUUUAAGAUUCACCUAAAAGAUCAAAGGCCUCAUGAUGCAUCCACUGUACUUCAAGUCAUCCUAGUAUCAUGACUGUACGUCUUUAUGUGUCAGUUAUGCAUGCUGAGGAAUGACCAGUAGAGACAGGUACUGCAUUUGGUUCUGGGACCAUAACAAUUACACUGUAGUCUGGCUGAAUGAGCCUCUUAGUAUAACAAGUAUAAUUGAGUAUAACUCAUUUAGGGUGUUUUUCCACUGCAUGAAGAUUGGUUAUGCAAUUAUCCUGCUGCUGAAACACAAUACAAAUGCCACCUUGAAAGCAGUAGUAAAUGAAUUUUUAAAAAAUAUAUAGUGAUCUUAUUAGGAGAACAGAUAUAACAAAAAGAUCAGAAUUGCAUGACAAGAAUUUUUUUUAAGUAUUUUGUUUAAUAUACUAGGACAACAUGCAUAUAGCAUAUUCCGCAUAUAGUGUGCUGUCCUAGCAAUGUGAUUUUGUUGUAAUAAGUAUUAGGGUAUUUAUAAAGCAAAAAGGAGUUCAUAUAUUUCUCACAACUCUAGAAGUGCUUUAAAACAGCAAGGAUGAAAAUGAUUAUGACUGUCUUGGAGAAUGCAUGCAGUGCUUAUGCAAAAGCAGAAGAGGAAGAGGUAAACUUUAUCUAAUCUCUUUAAAAAUCAGUUUGGUCUAUAAAAGAAAUAAUUCAAAUUGCAAAAGCUAGAUAAGGAUUUAUUUCUAUGAAAGAAUAAAAAUGUGCUAUAAUUUCCAUAUACAGAACUGAAGAUAAGAAAAUGCCUGAUCUUAACCUAGCUGACUAGCAAUGUAAAAAUUGCAUGGCAUAGCAUGCGAUGUUGGUAUUAAUAUCGCACAUCAUCCAGCAAUAUAAUAUAGUACAGCCAUUUUUCGAUUUAAGUACAAAAUACCCUGCCUCACGUUGUGAUGUCUUUCGGCGCUGGUACCAGUUUUUACACCAGUAGAAAACCAACACCUUGAAGUACCAAAAGUACAGUACCUGGUGUGGUGGAAAAGUGCCCUAAUUGUACAGAUGUUACCAAAAUAAGUUAGAAAUAUGCAUAUUUAAUGUUAAACCAUUUACCCUACCAAACACACUAUAUUACACAACCAUUUACAUAUAAAUUCCUUGUGUACAACUUCAUUUUGAAAAUAGAAAAUGCAUGUGAAUAAAUACUUUAACCUUAUAUGUUUAUUUUAUAAAUAAACUGUCUUAUUUCUGCCUGGUACUUUCUACAUGUGCUUGUUUCCGCAGCUGAAUGUUGUCGUUCAUGUGUAACGCGUGAAGUGGUGCGGUUUCACCUCUGUAGCUAAAUGCUUCAUCGCAGGCCUAUAAAUUAUGCAGCUCCAAAUGUGAGCCCCGACGCAGGUCUGUGCACACAGGAACUGGGGCGCGGGGUAAUGGUGGAGUCAGCAGACACGCAAACGAGAUGCUCUGAGCGACGGCCUCAUCUCCUUAAUUAAAUGAGACGCAGUCAGCCAGACACUAAAGCUCCGCUCAACAGCAAGUCAAUAAGUAUAAUUGAGCCAGAAAAGCCACACUGAGAAAAUCCACUCUGCGGUGGUCGUCAUGACUACUGUAUGCCUGCACUUUGUGCAUUCAAGAACAAGCAUCCCCUGAUAUGAAACUGCUAGCUAAAAUAAUAAUAAUACAGCAGAACAGCAGCUAUUUUCAGCAUGCAACCCUCCUAAUUGAAUUAGAGAAUGAAUGUUUUUUCAAUUUUAGUCUCAGAUUAAACAAGGGACAGGGCACUUGGAUGAAUUUUGAUGAAGUCUGGACUAUUGCAUGUUUCCAGCAGACUGAAUAUGAAUUUCACACACACACACACACACACACACACACACACACUAGUAGGCCAUGAGAACUGAUACUCCAUGUCGUUACCCAAAAUAAAACGCUUAUUACUCACCUGAAAUACAUUCAUAAACAUGGUCUGGUUUAAAUCCUGACAGUUACAAAAUGUUAACAGAUCACAAACCGAUUUCUGAAAGUGUUACACGGAUAAAUUGUACUUUUACUGUAAUGUUUCGCUCUGCCAUAAAUGAUUUAGUGGUUUGUUUUGUUAUUAAAAACAUUUUGUGUAGCCUGGUGACCCUCCUGGCAGCGUUUUUUCAAAGUUACCAACCUACAGUACAUUUGAUUUUAAGCUUUAUUGCAAUUGGUGAUGCAAUCACUGUCACCUUUGUUUUUCCCGUGGCCCAUCUUGAAAACUGUAUGUGUAAAUAACCUACCUGUCAUUGGUUGUUUUUUCUUCUGCUUUCUAUUUUCAGCUUAAUAUCCUAUUUUUAGAAAGUAAUUCUGUAUGAGUGUGCCAUACUAUCCUUGUAAUGUCGUUUAAUUUUACUUUAUAUAUUACUUCCAUAAGUUUUUGUGUCUCAGUCAGGUACUGCAAUUGUAAUACUGUGCCAUAAAAAGUUGAUUGUUUGUAUUUUAAGCACAGUGUUGUUUUACAUACUUGAAGGUUACAUGCCACUGUUUUUUUUGGUACUGUUUUUAAUAAAGGAGUAUAUCUUGAA